AGGUCUUGCCUGCCCAGUGACAAGUUUAAACGGCCGCGGUAUUUUGACCGUGCGAAGGUAGCGCAAUCACUUGUCUUUUAAAUGAAGACCUGUAUGAAUGGUGGAACGAGGGCUUAACUGUCUCCCUUUUCAGGUCAAUGAAAUUGAUCUCUCCGUGCAGAAGCGGACAUAUAAUUACAAGACGAGAAGACCCUUUGGAGCUUAAGAUAAAAGAUCAACUAUGUCAAGAAACUACUACUAAGCUUAAACUAAAUAGCAACUGAUCUUAAUCUUCGGUUGGGGCGACCACGGGAGAAAAUAAAGCUCCCAUGCGGAAUGGGAUAUUCCCUAAAGCUAAGAGAGACAUCUCUAAGCAGCAGAAAAUCUGACCAAAAGAUCCGGCUACAUAGCCGAUCAACGAACCAAGUUACCCUAGGGAUAACAGCGCAAUCCCCUCCCAGAGUUCAUAUCGACGAGGGGGUUUACGACCUCGAUGUUGGAUCAGGACAUCCUAAUGGUGCAGCCGCUAUUAAGGGUUCGUUUGUUCAACGAUUAAAGUCCUACGUGAUCUGAGUU
rnacentral:rRNA from 1 species